rnacentral:lncRNA from 1 species
UUGUGUAGGUUUCUUGAAGUCCAAUAUGACAAGAUUGGUGUGUAUGACUGAGUAUAAGAAAGUGAAAUGCAACCCGUAUCCUGGCUGCUAAAGUAGAGUAGAUGGAAUACAAGGACACUCAUAGGUAUUGAACCAAAUGAUGAAGUAGAAGUCUUCCGGGUCAAGAAGGAUCAUGAAAGUGUUCUAUCUAGACUCGACAUAAAGUCGAGACCAUCCGUACACAUGAAGUCGAGACUGUCCGUACACAUGAAGUCGAGACUGUCCGUACAAGAUAAGGAGAGGCCGUCCGUACGAAGUUGUGCUCGGCCCAUGAGGAUCCUCUUCAGCCUCCUAAGCUUUAUUCGAAGCAUCAUCAAGCUUCUAGAAGUCUCCGGAUCCUUCCCGAGCCUUCCUUGUAGCCGUUGCGUGUUCAAAAGAGGAAGAAGACAAGAGUUGCUUUUGGGUUUGCUUUAUGACGCGUUUUGGAUCCUUAUGACCGUUGUACAUAGCAUAUUCGUGUAGGAUAUUCCUUUUGUGUAGCCUUUAAAAGGUAACCUAUGUAAUUACCAAAUCAAGCAAGAAGAGAUAAUCUCUCUCUUUCUCUUCACCAAAUCUCUUUCCCUCUAAUCUCUCAAUCUCAUUUCCGCUCAUACUUAGUUCCAUUCUCGCAACCUAAUCUCCACAUUCUUACAUGGUAUCAGAGCCAUAAAGCUCCACAUACUCUAUUCUCCGAAACUCUCCUUGCAAAUCUUCUUCUUCUUCUCCAAUCUCCAUUCUCUUUUCGAUUAAGUCUACACUCACCAUGGAGAACACCAAGAUUCGUGCUCCGGUCACCCUCAAAGGAGGAAACUACUUGCUUUGGGCAAGAACCAUGAAGACCAUCUUGUGCGGUCGUGGAUUCUGGCCUCACAUCAUCAAGAGUGAAGCGCCAAGAGAGACAACCACGAACGAAGAUGGCUUGGAGAUCGCCCUUGUUGAUGAAGACAAGUGGUUCCAAGAAGACCAAAUGGUCUUAUCCGUUCUCCAAAACUCGCUUGAAGCAUCAAUCCUUGAAGGAUACUCCUAUUGUGAGACUCCCAAGGAUCUUUGGGAAACUUUGCAAAAUGUCUAUGGAAACCAAUCCAAUCUAAGUCGUGUGUUUGAGAUCAAGAAGGCCAUCAACGAGCUGACCCAAGGAGACAUGGAGUUUACUCAACACUUUGGGAAGUUCCGGUCCCUUUGGGCAGAUCUUGAGAUGUUGAGACCCAGCACCCUUGAUCCGGUGGUCAUCAAUGAGAGGCGUGAGCAAGACAAGGUCUUUGGUCUACUCUUUACCUUGAGUCCGGCGUACAACGAUCUCAUCAAGCAUCUCCUCCGUGCCGAUAAGCUCCAGAACCUUGAAGAAGUGUGUUCUCAAAUCCAAAAGGAGCAAGGAUCUCUCGGGCUGUUUGGCAACAAAGGAGAGCUGGUCUCGGGCAACUCAAGUGAGUUAGCAUCCGCCAACCGUGGGAAUUUCAAUGCCAACCGCGGGAAAGCUCCAUGGUGUGAUCAUUGCAAACGGAGUGGACAUGCCAAAGAGAAGUGCUGGAUCCUUCAUCCUCACCUCAAACCAGCAAGAAGGGAGCCGAGAGCUAACCAAGCCACUGGAGGGAACCUUGGAGGCCAAGAGCAAGCCGGAGCAUCAAGUCAAGCCUUGGGAGGAAAUGGAGCUGCAAUGAUGGCUUCUUCCGACCUAGUGAGACGCUCCGACCUCGAUGCACUCAUCAAGGCUCUCAAAGAGUCUUCCGGUAACGCUUAUCAUGCUCUUAGUGCUUUAAAACCUCUUAUUGUUGAUUCGGGAGCAUCUCACCAUAUGAUUAGUGACUCUAAAUUGAUGAACAACAUUGAACCGGCUUUAGGAAAUGUCAUAAUUGCAAAUGGUGAUAAGAUUCCGGUUAAAGGAGUAGGAGACUUAGAAUUGUUUAGCAAAAAGUCUAAAGCUUUCUAUAUGCCUACUUUCACUUCGAACUUGCUAUCCGUUAAGAAAGCUACUACCGAUCUUAAUUGCUAUGCUAUCUUUGGUCCUAAUGAUGUUCAUUUUCAGGAUAUUGAGACUAGUAGAGUGCUUGGUCAUGGAGGUACAAAGGAUGGUCUUUAUGUCCUUGAAGAUACAAAGCUUUCUACUCCUCUAUCUUCUCACUUUAGCUCAAUUCUUGUUAAUGCGAAUAAUGCUAUUUGGCAUGCUAGAUUAGGUCAUCCUCAUUCUCGUGCUUUAGGUCUUUUGUUACCAAGUAUUUCCUUUAAGAAUAAUGAAUGUGAGGCUUAUAUUCUUGGUAAACAUUGCAAAUCGGUAUUUCCCAAGUCUAGUACUAUUUAUGAGAAUUGUUUUGAUUUGGUUCAUUCGGAUGUUUGGACUUCACCUUGUUUAUCUAGAGAAAAUCAGAAAUACUAUGUCACAUUCAUUGAUGAGAAGUCUAAAUAUACUUGGUUAACUUUGUUACCUUCUAAAGAUAGAGUUCUUGAGGCUUUUAUCAACUUUCAAAACUAUGUCACUAACCAUUACAAUGCCAAGAUCAAAAUCUUUAGGUCCGAUAAUGGUGGUGAAUAUACAAGUCAUGCCUUCAAGCAACAUUUGGCCAAGCACGGGAUAAUCCAUCAAACAAGCUGUCCUUAUACACCACAACAAAACGGAGUAGCGGAGAGGAAGAAUAGGCAUCUCAUGGAAGUGGCAAGAUCGAUGAUGUUCCACACCAAUGUUCCUAAACCUUUUUGGAGUGAUGCGGUGGUCCUAGCUUGCUACUUGAUCAACCGGACCCCAACCAAGAUCCUACAAGAUUCCUCUCCCUUUGAGGUACUUAACAAGAAUAAACCGUCUAUCAAUCACUUACGUGUGUUUGGUUGUGUUUGUUUUGUCCUUAUAGGUGAACAAAGAAACAAACUCGAACCUAAGAGUGUCAAGGGCAUGUUUAUCGGGUACUCAAUCACACAAAAAGAAUACAAGUGCUAUAUACCGGAGACAAGGAAAGUUCUUGUUUCAAGAGAUGUGAAGUUUGUUGAGGGUAAAGGCUACUAUGAAGAAAAGAAUUGGGAAGACAUUCAAGAUCUCACCCAUUCACCUUCGGAUAGAGCUAGCAACCUCUGAAUUAUCUUGGAAAGACUUGGUGUAAGCAACUCUCAAAGUCACACCAACUCACCAAAUCCUAAUCUGGAGCCUACUCAACAACAAGAAACAUCACAACAUGAGGAAGAAGAACAUUUACAAGAAGAAGAAAAUACUCAAGAAGACAAUCUUGAAGAGGGAGAGAUUCCAAGUGAUCAUGAGGAAGAGACUACUUUAUCCGAAGAAGAGAAUUUGUCUACAUCGGAUCAUAAUGAAGGCUCUACUUCCCAAGAAGCGCCUAAUGAAGGCCCUACAUCCCAAGAAGCGCCUAUAGCCCUAAGAAGAAGUCAAAGACAGAAGUUUCCUCCAUCAAAUUGGAAGAACACUCGGGUUUACUACAAUAGUCAAGCCAUGGCUCAUCCUAUUCAAGCCGUGUGUACCAUUGCUCAUUUUCCCGAAGAACAUCAAGUCUUUCUUGGACAAAUUGACCAACAUUGGAUUCCUCAAACCUAUGAAGAAGCUAUCCAACAUCAAGUAUGGAGGGAAGCUAUAGCCGCCGAAAGACAAGCUAUGGAACAUAACCAUACUUGGGAAGAAGGAGAGUUACCUAAAGGCAAGAGAGCUGUGACAUCCAAGUGGGUCUUCACUAUCAAGUACAAGAGCAAUGGAGAUAUUGAACGCUACAAAGCUAGGCUUGUUGCAAGAGGGUUCACUCAAACGUAUGGGGUGGAUUACUUGGAUACGUUUGCCCCGGUUGCAAAGCUCCAUACGGUUCGAGUGGUUCUCUCUCUAGCUACCAACUUGGAGUGGGAACUUUGGCAAAUGGAUGUUAAGAAUGCCUUCCUUCAAGGAGAACUUGAAGAAGAAGUCUACAUGAAGCCACCACCGGGUCUUGAAGAUCAUAAUGCACCCGGGAAGGUCUUUAAACUCAAGAAAGCUAUCUAUGGUUUGAAGCGAUCCCCGAGAGCUUGGUAUCACAAGCUUAGCACAACCUUGCUGGAAAGAGGAUUCAAGAAGUCGGAAGCCGACAACACCCUCUUCACUCUCCCAAGCAAGGAAGGUAUAGUAGUCAUUCUCGUUUAUGUAGAUGAUAUUAUCAUCUCCGGGAAUGACAAGGUAGGGAUUCAAGAGACUAAAACCUUUCUUAAGAGUGUUUUUGAUAUAAAAGACCUUGGUGAACUAAAGUACUUCCUUGGGAUAGAAGUUUGUAGAUCAAAGGAAGGUCUCUUCUUAUCUCAAAGGAAGUACACCCUUGAUCUUCUUAGUCAAGUAGGUAAGCUUGGAGCAAAACCGGCUAAAACUCCCUUGGAAGAUGACUACAAGGCCAAUCGUAAGGGGGAGCUUGACAACAAGCCUUUCGAAGAUGUCACACAAUAUCGGAGACUUGUAGGUAAGCUCAUUUAUUUAACCAUUACUAGGCCUGACAUUUGCUUUGCUGUGAAUGUAGUAAGUCAACACAUGCAAGCUCCCACGCUACAUCAUUGGAACAUGGUGAACCGCAUCCUCAAAUAUCUCAAAGGAGCUCCGGGUCAAGGCAUUUGGAUGGGAUGCAACAACAACACGGAGCUGGUAGGAUAUUGUGAUGCGGACUAUGCUGGAGACAAGAAGGAUAGGAGGUCAACCACCGGCUAUUGCACAUUCAUUGGUGGCAACCUAGUUACUUGGAGAAGCAAGAAGCAAAAGGUGGUCUCCCUUUCAAGUUGUGAAGCCGAGUACCGGGCCAUGAGAAAGCUCACAACUGAACUUAUGUGGUUGAAAGCUCUCCUUAAAGACUUCGGAAUUGACACACCAAAGCCAAUCACCAUGCAUUGCGAUAAUCAAGCCGCCAUUCACAUCGCCUCAAAUUCAGUAUUUCAUGAAAGAACGAAGCACAUUGAGGUGGAUUGUCACAAGGUCCGAGAACAAGUUCAACUUGGAGUAAUCCUACCUUGCUACACCGAUACUGAAGAACAAUUGGCCGACAUCUUUACCAAAGGAGCUAGCACCAAAGUUUGUGAGUACAUUCAUCACAAACUUGGCCUCGUUGACAUCUCUCGGCCAUGAUCCUUUUAGCCAAAUAUCCCAUACUCUUUUUCCCUAAGUGUGGUUUUAUCCCAUGAGGUUUUCUACACUUAGGUUUUUAAUGAGGUGGUUGAAUUUGGAUCCAAGCUUAACCUUGAUACAUCCACGGUUAGCUUGAGGGGGAGUAUUGAACCAAAUGAUGAAGUAGAAGUCUUCCGGGUCAAGAAGGAUCAUGAAAGUGUUCUAUCUAGACUCGACAUAAAGUCGAGACCAUCCGUACACAUGAAGUCGAGACUGUCCGUACACAUGAAGUCGAGACUGUCCGUACAAGAUAAGGAGAGGCCGUCCGUACGAAGUUGUGCUCGGCCCAUGAGGAUCCUCUUCAGCCUCCUAAGCUUUAUCCAAAGCAUCAUCAAGCUUCUAGAAGUCUCCGGAUCCUUCCCGAGCCUUCCUUGUAGCCGUUGCGUGUUCAAAAGAGGAAGAAGACAAGAGUUGCUUUUGGGUUUGCUUUAUGACGCGUUUUGGGUCCUUAUGACCGUUGUACAUAGCAUAUUCGUGUAGGAUAUUCCUUUUGUGUAGCCUUUAAAAGGUAACCUAUGUAAUUACCAAAUCAAGCAAGAAGAGAUAAUCUCUCUCUUUCUCUUCACCAAAUCUCUUUCCCUCUAAUCUCUCAAUCUCAUUUCCGCUCAUACUUAGUCCCAUUCUCGCAACCUAAUCUCCACAUUCUUACAAUAGGGACUUCGUGCUCCUUCACAAAACUUGGGGAAGCCAUAAUAAGCUUGUGUAGGGUUUUUGGAGUCCAAUAUGACAAGAUUGGUGUGUAUGACUGAGUAUAAGAAAGAGAAAUGCAACCCGGAUCCUUAUUGCUAAAGUAGCGUAGAUGGAAUACAAAAACACUCGUAGGGACUUCGUCCUCCCAUACAAAACUUGGGGAAGCCAUAAUAAGCUUGUGUAGGGUUUUUGGAGUCCAAUAUGACAAGAUUGGUGUGUAUGACUGAGUAUAAGAAAGAGAAAUGCAACCCGGAUCCUUAUUGUUAAAGUAGCGUAGAUGAAAUACAAAAACACUCAUAGGGACUUCGUCCUCCCAUAUAAAACUUGGGGAAGCCAUAAUAAGGUUGUGUAGGGUUUUGGAGUCUAAUAUGACAAGAUUGGUGUGUAUGACUGAGUAUAAGAAAGAGAAAUGCAACCUGGAUCCUGAUUGCUAAAGUAGCGUAGAUGGAAUACAAAAACACUCAUAGGGACUUCGUCCUCCCAUACAAAACUUGGGGAAGCCAUAAUAAGCUUGUGUAGGGUUCUUGGAGUCCAAUAUGACAAGAUUGGUGUGUAUGACUGAGUAUAAGAAAGAGAAAUGCAACCCGGAUCCUGAUUGCUAAAGUAGCGUAGAUGGAAUACAAAAAAACUCAUAUGGACUUCGUCCUCC